rnacentral:rRNA from 1 species
GACGAACGCUGGCGGCGUGCUUAACACAUGCAAGUCGAGCGGUAAGGCCCUUCGGGGUACACGAGCGGCGAACGGGCGAGUAACACGUGGGUGACCUGCCUCUAGCUCUGGGAUAAGCCCGGGAAACUGGGUCUAAUACCGGAUAUGACUCCACGGCGCAUGUUGUGGGGUGGAAAGCCUUGUGUGGCUAGAGAUGGGCCCGCGGCCUAUCAGCUUGUUGGUGGGGUGANGGGCCUACCAAGGCGACGACGGGUAGCCGGCCUGAGAGGGCGACCGGCCACACUGGGACUGAGGACACGGGCCCAGACUCCUACGGGAGGCAGCGAGUGGGGAAUCUUGCGCAAUGGGCGAAAGCCUGACGCAGCGACGCCGCGUGAGGGAUGACGGCCUC